rnacentral:rRNA from 1 species
GACGAACGCUGGCGGCGUGCUUAACACAUGCAAGUCGAACGGAAAGGCCUCUUUCGGGGGGUACUCGAGUGGCGAACGGGUGAGUAACACGUGAGUAACCUGCCCUUGACUUUGGGAUAACUUCAGGAAACUGGGGCUAAUACCGGAUAGGAGCUCCUGCUGCAUGGUGGGGGUUGGAAAGUUUCGGCGGUUGGGGAUGGACUCGCGGCUUAUCAGCUUGUUGGUGGGGUAGUGGCUUACCAAGGCUUUGACGGGUAGCCGGCCUGAGAGGGUGACCGGCCACAUUGGGACUGAGAUACGGCCCAGACUCCUACGGGAGGCAGCAGUGGGGAAUAUUGCACAAUGGGUGGAAGCCUGAUGCAGCAACGCCGUGUGCGGGAUGACGGCCUUCGGGUUGGAAACCGCUUUCGCCCAUGACGAAGCUUUGUGUGACGGUAGUGGGUAAAGAAGCACCGGCUAACUACGUG